rnacentral:rRNA from 1 species
GAUGAACGCUGGCGGCGUGCCUAAUACAUGCAAGUCGAGCGAACGGACGAGAAGCUUGCUUCUCUGAUGUUAGCGGCGGACGGGUGAGUAACACGUGGAUAACCUACCUAUAAGGCUGGGAUAACUUCGGGAAACCGGAGCUAAUACCGGAUAAUAUUUUGAACCGCAUGGUUCAAAAGUGAAAGACGGUCUUGCUGUCACUUAUAGAUGGAUCCGCGCUGCAUUAGCUAGUUGGUAAGGUAACGGCUUACCAAGGCAACGAUGCAUAGCCGACCUGAGAGGGUGAUCGGCCACACUGGAACUGAGACACGGUCCAGACUCCUACGGGAGGCAGCAGUAGGGAAUCUUCCGCAAUGGGCGAAAGCCUGACGGAGCAACGCCGCGUGAGUGAUGAAGGUCUUCGGAUCGUAAAACUCUGUUAUUAGGGAAGAACAUAUGUGUAAGUAACUGUGCACAUCUUGACGGUACCUAAUCAGAAAGCCACGGCUAACUACGUGCCAGCAGCCGCGGUAAUACGUAGGUGGCAAGCGUUAUCCGGAAUUAUUGGGCGUAAAGCGCGCGUAGGCGGUUUUUUAGUCUGAUGUGAAAGCCCACGGCUCAACCGUGGAGGGUCAUUGGAAACUGGAAAACUUGAGUGCAGAAGAGGAAAGUGGAAUUCCAUGUGUAGCGGUGAAAUGCGCAGAGAUAUGGAGGAACACCAGUGGCGAAGGCGACUUUCUGGUCUGUAACUGACGCUGAUGUGCGAAAGCGUGGGGAUCAAACAGGAUUAGAUACCCUGGUAGUCCACGCCGUAAACGAUGAGUGCUAAGUGUUAGGGGGUUUCCGCCCCUUAGUGCUGCAGCUAACGCAUUAAGCACUCCGCCUGGGGAGUACGACCGCAAGGUUGAAACUCAAAGGAAUUGACGGGGACCCGCACAAGCGGUGGAGCAUGUGGUUUAAUUCGAAGCAACGCGAAGAACCUUACCAAAUCUUGACAUCCUUUGACAACUCUAGAGAUAGACCCUUCCCCUUCGGGGGACAAAGUGACAGGUGGUGCAUGGUUGUCGUCAGCUCGUGUCGUGAGAUGUUGGGUUAAGUCCCGCAACGAGCGCAACCCUUAAGCUUAGUUGCCAUCAUUAAGUUGGGCACUCUAAGUUGACUGCCGGUGACAAACCGGAGGAAGGUGGGGAUGACGUCAAAUCAUCAUGCCCCUUAUGAUUUGGGCUACACACGUGCUACAAUGGACAAUACAAAGGGCAGCGAAACCGCGAGGUCAAGCAAAUCCCAUAAAGUUGUUCUCAGUUCGGAUUGUAGUCUGCAACUCGACUACAUGAAGCUGGAAUCGCUAGUAAUCGUAGAUCAGCAUGCUACGGUGAAUACGUUCCCGGGUCU